GCAGAGGGUGGGGCUCACACACAGGAAGUGCAGCAGCUAAAUAAAGCAAGUGGGGAUGAAGAGGGUGAAAGGACAGAGGUGCUGAGCACAGACGAGCACACUGACAUGGGGACAGAGGGACUGAGGACGAGUAGAGAUCAUCACAUCAAGAUGAAACUCUAGUGAUUGUAGGUGCUGAUGGAGGAUUGUUCCGGAUGUUUGCUCGAUGCGUCUCACUUCUCUCGUCUCUCAGUACUUUCUCACGAUGCCGUCCAUCAGCGCUUUUCCUCCCGUGUCUCUCCUCUCGUCUCCUCGUCCUCUCCCAAUCCUUGUACCAGUGUCCGGUCUGGUUGUGACGCUGGACGGGGUUUGGGGGGGGAUGAGCGAGGACACGUGUACAUCAUGUACAGUGAUGGCCACAUUCAACAAUCAUCCUAGAAAAGACAGCUCUGUAACCUCCAGUGUGUGUAUGUGUGGAUGCUGUACUCUGUACUGUGUGAAUAAACUAUUCAACUCCUGUUGUUUAUAUAGA